UGCCAGCAGCCGCGGUAAUACGAAGGGACCUAGCGUAGUUCGGAAUUACUGGGCUUAAAGAGCUCGUAGGUGGUUAAAAAGUUGGUGGUGAAAUCCCAGAGCUUAACUCUGGAACUGCCAUCAAAACUUUUUAGCUAGAGUGUGAUAGAGGUAAGUGGAAUUUCUAGUGUAGAGGUGAAAUUCGUAGAUAUUAGGAAGAACACCAAAUGCGAAGGCAACUUACUGGGUCACUACUGACACUGAGGAGCGAAAGCAUGGGUAGCGAAGAGGAUUAGAUA
rnacentral:rRNA from 1 species